rnacentral:rRNA from 1 species
GUGAGGAAUUUUCCGCAAUGGGCGAAAGCCUGACGGAGCAAUGCCGCGUGAAGGAUGAAGGCCUAUGGGUUGUAAACUUCUUUUCUCAGAAAAGAAUUAUGACGGUAUCUGAGGAGUAAGCAUCGGCUAACUCUGUGCCAGCAGCCGCGGUAAGACAGAGGAUGCAAGCGUUAUCCGGAAUGAUUGGGCGUAAAGCGUCUGUAGGUUGUUUAAAAAGUAUUCUGUCAAAGAUUAGGGCUUAACCCUAGAUAGGCAGAAUAAACUUUUAAGCUAGAGUUUGGUAGAGGCAGAGGGAAUUCCCGGUGGAGCGGUGAAAUGCGUAGAUAUCGGGAGGAACACCAAAGGCGAAGGCACUCUGCUGGGCCAAUACUAACACUGAGAGACGAAAGCGAGGGGAGCAAAUGGGAUUAGAAACCCCAGUAGUCC